UGUUUCAGGAUAUCUUACGGUAGUGAUCAUUUGAAAAAAUGAACUUCACGACCUUUUAUUUACUUUUAUGCAUAAUUUUCGCAGGUAGAGGAGAUGAAAGAUGGAAAAAACGAACUAGAGAAAAUUCAUACAUUGGAACAUUAAAUGAAUCAGAGAUGGAUCGAGACUUGUGGCCGUAUGAAGACAACUUUGACGUAGAAACGGAUAAGUUCUACAGCAACGUGAACUAUAAAUUACC